GGUGUCUACCCCAGGUGCACUCUGACCGGGUCACAGCCGUGGUGGCCACAGACGACAUCAUCGUCACACCCGCCUCACAUGACCAGUCCGUCCGUCUGUGGGACAGACGAACCCUCAGACAGGUUGGAUUGUUCCAGUGUCGAGCUCCAGUUCUGUCGCUGGCCGUGAGCCCGGCCUCCCCGAGUGACCUGACCUGCGGCGAUGAUUUGGGCCACGUCUACUUCCUCCGCCUGCGCCCGUUCCCCUCCCCCACACCCGUGACCGGCGGGCGGGGAGACUCUCUCACUCCCUCCGUCACGGAGCGCUGUUAAAGGGGAGGGAAUCGCACCCCCUCUCCGGGCGGGCAGUCUGGGAUUUGCCCCCAUCGCACGCUGUCUCUCCCACUCUCUGUCUGAAACCACGGGGUCGGAUUCUGGAGGCUGAGUGUGUGUCUGUACCGAUUCCCCAUCAAACCCAGACAAGGCCGACCAGGCUCCGAGCACAGAAACCAAAUAAAAGGCACUGCAUCAA